AAAUAUUGCAGUAUAUUUUCAACCUCUGUCCAUUCAAGACUCAGGUCGGUAGGACGUGUCAGUGGAACUGAGUAGACAUUGUCGAUGAUAUUUAGACACUGUUCAUACUCCAGCAAAGCCUACAAAUAAACGAUACCAGUAUUCGUACAAAUGCGAAUCAAAUCGCUGAGUCUGGAGUCUUCAAUUCUUCAAUUUCCGAUUGUUGAAUUCAGUUCGGAGAGUGGAUGAAGAGUGAGUGAGUCUGUCUGAAGCGUAAACCUCCUAUCCGGGCGGCCGAUUUGCUGCCUGUACGGUUUCCUGUGUUGUUCAGCCGGUAUUUGUCCUACAAAGGUCGAAUCGGUAUCAUUGGGACGGGGAUGAUCUCCUCUAUCCAUAAAUGUCUUUCAUUUAUUUGCUGUUUAUAUUGGUGCCCGGUAAUCGCCUUUUAAAGUGGUGCCUGUCUCUGAUUGGUCGACGUGGUGUACUAUAUGUUGCCUAUCUACACGUAAUACGCAAAUGUUCUAUGUUAUGUGUUGGCCCUGAAAAGGGCCGUUUUCGUGGAUCCGUACUCCGUUACAUACUUGAAAUUCCACUGAUUUAAAUAUUUAACUAUAUAUUAUAUAUAGUACAUUAUUGGAUUACAAUAAAAUUACGUAUUAUUAUAAACGAUUAUUGUACAUUUGCAUAUUAUAUUUGAAUUAAUUACAA